rnacentral:rRNA from 1 species
AGGACGAACGCUGGCGGCGUGCUUAACACAUGCAAGUCGAGCGAACCUUCGGGUUAGCGGCGAACGGGUGAGUAACACGUGGGCAACCUGCCCCGAGCUCUGGGAUAACUCCGGGAAACCGGGGCUAAUACCGGAUAUGACACCGAUCGACAUCUGUCGGUGUGGAAAGUUUUUCGGCUCGAGAUGGGCCCGCGGCCUAUCAGCUUGUUGGUGAGGUAACGGCCCACCAAGGCGACGACGGGUAGCC